AGACCAUCUGUUCAGAUGGACGAGCUUCUGAAUGCAGCCCUUACAGGGACAGAAGCAGGGCAGUCAGCGGCUGGAUCAGCCAGCCUGCAGAGCGGUACUUUCCCCCAGUGGAAUCCUUCAGGAAAGCGAAGGUUAUGGGACAAGAACUGGCUUGUCAUUCAAGGAAGACAUUUUUCAAUCUGGCAAAGGAAAAAAGAAAGUUUGAAGCUGUAACUGCAAAGCUUAUCCGGAGGGCACAAAGAUCUGUGACUGUUUAAAAAGAA
rnacentral:lncRNA from 1 species